AAAAACUUAAAUAAUUUUAAAAUCAAAAUAAAAUGCUGGAUAUCUUAUAUUAUGUAAUAGGUGUAGGUACCUUUUGGUUUGAACCUUCACUUAGUGACAAUUGAUUACAUCUGUGGAGCCAAGGUGGUCUUAACCUUGAACCUCGGUCCAUGGCUCAGAUUAAAUCAACAGCACACAUAAUAUAGCCCGAUCUGGGUUCUAAGCGGGUUGCGCUGUUAUGGCCAUGCGCAGAUAUCUAUCAUGUGCUUUUUAGGGAAUCGCCCAUUUCCCAUAAUCGCGGCCUCACGACUGCACAUAUAGGUGAGUCCUAAUAAGGAAGCU
rnacentral:lncRNA from 1 species